rnacentral:lncRNA from 1 species
UAAUCUGAAGCAUAUCCCGAAGAAGCAUGGCAUGACCUACAGAAAUUUCUAUCAUCUUCUGCUGAAAGAUGGCUUGCAUCAAAUAAGGAGAUCCAAAACAUCACAAUACUGAUGUUAAGAAGGCUCUCACAAGUGCAGUAGAACAACAACUUGUAGUUAUGCGGAAUUGAGGUGCUUUUCAAUUAUAUGUUGAAAAAAAUG